rnacentral:rRNA from 1 species
UACAGAGGUCUCAAGCGUUGUUCGGAUUCAUUGGGCGUAAAGGGUGCGUAGGCGGCGCGGUAAGUCGGGUGUGAAAUCUCGGAGCUUAACUCCGAAACUGCAUUCGAUACUGCCGUGCUUGAGGACUGGAGAGGAGACUGGAAUUUCCGGUGUAGCGGUGAAAUGCGUAGAUAUCGGAAGGAACACCAGCAGCGAAGGCGACAACCUGGCUCUUAACUGACACUGAGGCGCGAAGGCGUGGGGAGCAAACAGG